UACGGGGGGGGCAAGCGUUGUUCGGAAUUACUGGGCGUAAAGUGUGCGCAGGCGGCUUCGCAAGUCGAGUGUGAAAUCCCCGAGCUUAACUUGGGAAUUGCGCUCGAAACUACGGAGCUGGAGUGUGGCAGAGGAAGGUGGAAUUCCACGUGUAGCGGUGAAAUGCGUAGAGAUGUGGAGGAACACCGAUGGCGAAGGCAGCCUUCUGGGCCAACACUGACGCUCAUGCACGAAAGCGUGGGGAGCAAACAGG
rnacentral:rRNA from 1 species